CAGUACACGGUAUCAAGAAACACCCUCAUGAAUUAUCCAAAGGCAAACCUCAUCCUCCUGACCCUCACUAAGUGGCAGCUCUACCACCUCCUCCUGGUCAUGGCUGAUGACCUCUGCCAGGAUGCAGGCCCUUCUCGGCUCUUUGAAACCACGUCUCACCUACAAGGAGAAACAGUGGGCCUUGGAUGGGUUUCAUGCUCCAUAAACAGUACCAGACCUCCUCUAUGAUUUUCUUACGAGGACUUCCAGGUUGUGAAGAUACCUCUGCUUCCAGUGCCUUCUUACCAAGCCCAACCACAGUGUAACCACAGUUGCCUGCCCAACCUUGAGCUCUCCCUGGCUGCAUGGUGGCCCUGAAGAAAUGUCAGCGAGCUGGAGCUGUCGUGUGGGUCCUAGAAGGAGACUUGCAUGUGACCGACCACCAUCUCCCUCCCUGCUGGCCCCAGACCUUCUGGAUACUUUUGUAGAUGGCUUACCAAUCCUGGCGCAGACAAGAUCUCUGCUUGCACAAUAAUCCUGCUUUUGGCCGGCAGGUGUGAAAAGCGCUGAAAGCAGACAUCAUAGUCUGCUGACUUAAUUACUGCUCUGUAGAGCAGCUGGUUUGGGUCUGGAAAGCUCCUAAUGGAGGGUCUGUCAAUGGAACAAGAGCAGGCAUCGUGAGCUUUAAACAGGGAGAUGUCAAGCCAUAGCCGACAGUAGCCAGCCAGUUGGGCAGAGUGCCCCAGCACUGGCUCCUUUUUCCCUCCUGUCUCCAGGGUGGGGCCUGGGACUCAGAUAACCUCUGUGACUGGCCAGGAGGAGUCUGAUGCCAGGAUGGGGUAGGACAAGGCAGGGCCCCCAAGAGGAAGCAGAGCCAUGCAUGGGUUUGACUGUAAGGUAUGUGUCUCUCUCUCUCUCUCUCUCUUUUUUUUUUUUUCAUUUAUUUCAUUCAACAAACGUUAAGAAUCAACUUUGCUCACCAAACACUUCUCUUCCUAAAAGUCACAAUGAUGAAUCAGUCAAAUGCCUUGUUCUUUGUAGAUCUUUGCUUCUGCAUUGCUUAGUUGGGACUAGGACCUGGCCCUGAGUUUAUGGAGUUUAUGAAGACUUAGUAGACACAGUGGCUACAGAAACAUCAUGUAGGAUUUCCAAUCAGGUCUAAGACAGACCCGGGGAUGGUCCUGGAGAUC